UACGUAGGGUGCGAGCGUUAAUCGGAAUUACUGGGCGUAAAGCGUGCGCAGGCGGUGAUGUAAGACCGAUGUGAAAUCCCCGGGCUUAACCUGGGAACUGCAUUGGUGACUGCAUCGCUCGAGUAUGGCAGAGGGGGGUAGAAUUCCACGUGUAGCAGUGAAAUGCGUAGAGAUGUGGAGGAACACCGAUGGCGAAGGCAGCCUCCUGGGCCAGCACUGACGCUCAUGCACGAAAGCGUGGGGAGCAAACAGG
rnacentral:rRNA from 1 species